rnacentral:rRNA from 1 species
AUUGAACGCUGGCGGCAGGCCUAACACAUGCAAGUCGAGCGAGCGGCGGACGGGUGAGUAAUGUCUGGGAAACUGCCUGAUGGAGGGGGAUACCUACUGGAAACGGUAGCUAAUACCGCAUACCAUCAGAUGUGCCCCGAUGGGAUUAGCUAGUAGGUGGGGUAACGGCUCACCUAGGCGACGCUCCCUAGCUGGUCUGAGAGGAUGACCAGCCGCACUGGAACUGAGACACGGUCCAGACUCCUACGGGAGGCAGCAGUGGGGAAUAUUGCACAAUGGGCGCAAGCCUGAUGCAGCCAUGCCGCGUGUGUGAAGAAGUCCUUCGGGUUGUAAAGAACUUUCAGCGGGGAGGCGUUACCCGCAGAAGAAGCACCGGCUAACUCCGUGCAAGCAGCCGCGGUAAUUC